UGAGGAAUCUUGCACAAUGGGCGAAAGCCUGAUGCAGCGACGCCGCGUGGAGGAAGAAGGUCUUCGGAUUGUAAACUUCUGUUAAGUGGGAAAAAAGAAUUGCCAUAAAUAGUGGCGAUAGAUGAUGGUACCACUAGAGAAAGCACUGGCUAAUCUCGUGCCAGCAGCCGCGGUAAUACGAGAGGUGCAAACGUUAUUCGGAAUCAUUGGGCGUAAAGGGUGUGUAGACGGUAGAAAAAGUCGGUUAUUAAAUUUCUUGGCUUAACCAAGAGCGUGUGAUCGAAACUGAUUUACUUGAGGGUGGAGGAGAGAAGUGGAAUUCUCGGAGUAGCGGUAAAAUGCGUAGAUCUCGAGAGGAACACCGAUGGCGAAGGCAGCUUCUUGGUCCAUUUCUGACGUUGAAACACGAAAGCGUGGGGAGCAAACAGG
rnacentral:rRNA from 1 species